rnacentral:rRNA from 1 species
CCCCUGUUACCGCCGUGAAAGGGCGGUGUCCUGGGCCUCUAGACGAAGGGGACACGAAAAUUGCUUAUCACGCGUUGCGUGAUAUUUUCGUGUAGGGUGAGCUUUCAUUAAUAGAAAGCGAACGGCCUUAUUCUCUUCAGCCUCACUCCCAACGCGUAAACGCCUUGCUAUUUACUUUUCAUCAGACAAUCUGUGUGAGCACUUCAAAGAACGCUUCUUUAAGGUAAGGAGGUGAUCCAACCGCAGGUUCCCCUACGGUUACCUUGUUACGACUUCACCCCAGUCAUGAAUCACAAAGUGGUAAGCGCCCUCCCGAAGGUUAAGCUACCUACUUCUUUUGCAACCCACUCCCAUGGUGUGACGGGCGGUGUGUACAAGGCCCGGGAACGUAUUCACCGUGGCAUUCUGAUCCACGAUUACU